ACUGCUCCUGACUCGAUGGAAAACUUUGUAAAUUGUAGAAUUACUGAUCUCUAGUGGUUGCCAGGUAACUCACACAAUCUCCAAUAAUACUAUGAAUCAGUAAAUGCUAUGAAUAUUUCUAUUCUAGCACGCUAAAUCAGAACGCCCAUUAUAACGAAUCAUAUGAGAGUCCGUCCAACCUACAGAUGAAGAAUGUGUGAUGUGGACAGGUUUAGGAGAUCCAUAUGGUUUUUAAAGAUGGUGGACGCAGCAGCAAAGAGAACACAGCUAGGCAGUGCACAAGAUAUUGCUAUCCGGAGUUAUCGGACUUGAUACGACUUUUUUUUUUAUUCUGAGUUACUGGACUUGCCAAGAAGCCCUGCUCUGAAUUAUGACUUGACAGCAACUUUCCACAGAGGCGGAUCUAGGGGGCCCAGGGGCCCGCCCCCUAAAUUUUGCGAUAGUUAUAAUUUUAUUAUAUAUUAAAAAAUUUCAGUUUUGUUUACGAUCCCCCUCCAAACCUUCCCCAAAGUUCCCUUGGCAUUCCACCUCAUGUCACUGGGGCCCCCCUAAAUGGAUUUUCUGGAUCCGCCACUGAUCCCGAAUUAUAAAGCUUGACAACCACUUUCUGUCCUGACAUAUCGAACUCCACAAGAACUUACUAUUAUGAAUUAUAGGACCUGACAACAAUUCUCUAUCCCAAAUUAUCGGACUUGACAAGAAUGUCAUGGUUGAAUUAUCGGACAUGACAAAAUAUUUUUUAUCGUGAACUUUCGAACUUUGAAAAUCAAGUUACUUUAUGAAUUGUAGGACAUGACGAUAACCUUAGUCUGAUUUUUUAAUAAAAACAUUCGAUCCUUA